CGCCCCCAUGUAAUUAUCCAAUGCUCGAAAACUAUUUUUUUGUCCAGACCGACCUGCUCUUCAAUUCUCGCUGGUUUGUGGUUUUUAGACCCCAACCAAUCACAGUUAGUGCUAAUGGAGAAGAACCUGUUGUUCCUGGAGGCAUGACAGGCACUCCACCAUGCUACCACCAUUAGUCUCAUCCGUGACGAGCUGGUGAACACGUGAGACAUGACAUGUCUGAUUCCAGUUGUGCAAAGUCUGCUUAUGCUGCAACCUUGGUCUAUCCUUCACUCGAUUCUUGAAACUGUUUGCGUUUUCUGAAACUUCCUACAUUAGGAGACACUUGCCCCAGAUCCAAUUCGUCGAUGGAGUUAGAACAAUUCCGUACAACAGAGUCUUAGGUAAUUUAUGUUCUAACCAUGUUAUUAUUAUUGGAAAACCAAAUACGGAUGCUUAAUCUGAGCUAUCUCUCACCCCAUUUCCUCUAGGUCUCUGCCAAUUAUUGUUUGUCUUUUGAGGUGAAUGUAGCUGCUGGUCAUGCUUUAACCACACGUCAAUUGCAGGAGUGCGACAGCGCCAUCCUGUUCCACAAACCAUGUGAAGAAUGAUGGGUGGUGUAAUCCCAUGCUAGCUAGAGUGCUAGACAGAUUUAAUAAACUCUUUCGAGCUCAUCUUUUGGCCUGAAACACAACUAAACUGCCCCAGUAGUGAGCAAUGAUUAAUAAAACGGAGUUCAUUUGAUCCAUCUGAUAAAAAUAACUAUUGGGGAAUAAGAAUGAAAACUAAUCACGUGUUGUUUCUGCAGUGGAAUUCAGCCGUGACGAUCAGAAGUUCAGGACCCCACUAUAGGCAGGAAAAAUGAUUAAUCUUGGUAAGAUAGAGUCUUCUGAUCACAAUCUUACUUUUUUGUUAGUGCUUCCAUUACUUUCUAUUGAAAAAUGCUCAAUGGGCUAGGAGUGGACCCUUUUAGUAAGUUAUAUGUAUAAUUGGAGAUUACUUGAUUUUCUCAUCGUUAUCUGGUUAGUUAUCCCUCACAAAAUCAAGUGAUAAUAUAUGCAGCAUGUAUAAGACUAGGAGUAUUGGAUGGUUGUGAUUCGGGAGCGAAAAUACUUCACACACGACAAUUGCUCUCACGAUUCUAGGACGAUGGCUUAUCCAACAGUGCUGUGCAGUUUUGCCUUUCCAGUGGACGGUGGGAUAUGCUGUGUCGUCUUGAAAUCGUCCCGGGGGUGUCGUGUGUAUAUCAACGCUCAUUCGGGAGUGUGUAUUUUGAACGAAGUUUAUAGUAUGUAUAGGGUGAUAGAUAGGUUGGGUAGGAACUUCUGCUCUAAUUUACUAUGGUUGUAGUUAAAUUAAUUUUUGGUUGAAUCGUGUCUUUCGCAUUGAUCUUAAUUUACUGGAUAAAUUAUACAAUAAAGUGGUUUGUGAUUUUUUGGUUUUACACUAUCCAUUGUAAUACAGAACUUAUUAUUCGCACUUCAACUUCCCGUGUAGUGUUAAUCAAAAUCAAUUUGAAAAUGCAAUAAAAUUCUAUAUGUUCUAUAUUUUUUUCAAACAUGAGCAUUGCUGGUUAAUAAAUUGAUUUACAUUAAUUUCUGAAAAGGGGACCGCACACAUGUCCUGGUGCUAAAAGUUUUUAGAAAGGGUUUAUGUAAUUUUGGUAGUAUAAAAGUAACCCAAGUUCUUUAGUAUUAUCCAGAGCUAGGAUAUGUAAAUGUAUAAACACAGGGUAGAAGGUCAGUCAAUUUGCAGGGUCUAACCUUGUAGUGCUGCUAUUUGUCCCAACCAUCUAAUACUCAUAACUAACUUCAUUGCCUGCAUUGUUAGGCUAAAAUAUGGAGCCACAAACGGAGCAAUUACUAACCAUCAGUUCACAGAAACGCAAUCUUACCUGAAGUUACAGAGUAGUCAAGGAUGAUAUACUGAUAUGCCAUGACCAUCUGAUAAGAAGAAAGCAGAAUACCUAAAGAAGGAAUACAUAUCCUGCUAGCAAGAGAAAGUUGUGGUGGCCCGUGAGAAUAUGGAUGGACCUAGCUGAAAACCCCACAACUUUAUUUCUCCAUAUAUAUUUUGCCUUCUAAAGAGUAGUUAUUGCCAAUUGAUUGUCAAUAGAAUGUCUAGAUGCAUGAGUAUUUGACAUCUGCGUUUGUUCUGAUCUAUAGAAGCAGUGGAAAUAAUACUUUUAUCAUUCAGUGAGAAAUAACUAAAUUUUCAUGAAAUCUCAUAUCUUCAGUAAUUUGCUCGCAGGAGAGCGAUGACUGUGGCAGCAAGCUCGCUAGGGAUGGAGAGCACUGCACAGAGAAGGAAGGGAACGUGAAUGGAAUUGGGCAUUGGUAUAGUGUCAGUUUCGGUCAGGCUGCCCACCAUGGCCUAGCUUUGAGAAGGAUGAACAUUGGAGCAAGAACAAGCAUGGAGAUGAUGGCAUGC